rnacentral:lncRNA from 1 species
UUUAAGGCUUGUAUUUACUCAGGAAACGUAUUCUAGUAUCUUCUCACUGAUUGAAAUCUCAAGUGACAAAUACUUCUUUAUACCUGCAAAAUGGUACCUAAUUCCUUCUUAGUUCAUGAGCCAUAGGUCAGGCAGCUAGAUGGUCAGUGAGCCAUAGGUCCGGUGGCUAGAUGGCUGAAACCUUCGUCAGAGUAGAACAAGGAGCUCCUGCCAGCACUGAGUCAGGGACAAAUGGCUGUUCCACCCAGAGUGGCAGGAGGACAGGCUUGCCAUCUGAAGCUAGGAAGCAAGGAGCUGGCAUGUUGUCUCUAGCAAUGACAAUGCUCCCUCCUGGGUCAGCUCAGAAGGUUCUGGAACCGUGCUUCUCUCAUACUCAGCCCAUGGAGCUAAGGCCCCAGCAGUUUUCUAAAACUUUCAAAGAUGAAUUUAGUUGCAAAAUCAAGCUAAGCAAUUUCCACUGCAGGCUUUACAAAGAGCUGUUGGUCCUCUCAUCCUGGUGCUGAGCACAAUUUUAGACAUGGUUAGUGCCCCUUGGACAUUGAUUGCUCCAUUAACUGUCCCUGGGGAGGAUGAAGGUGUUUACUUGUGGUAUGGGCGCAGUGGGUCUGUGUCUUAAUGCACAGUGCGGUGCUGGGCACGCUGGGAAAGGCCCUGGGUGAAAGGGCUGUUACUGAAGAGCUGGACAGUUUGGGUUUGAUCACUCCCCGUGCUGAUCGCCCCCUCGCAUUCUUUCCCUUGACUGUGAAUGCUCUUACAAGGUAAUUUACAUAUUUGCUUUCUGUUGAAAUAACUGAAAGUGUUAAAUCUACCAGUUGUGUAUGUCUUGUAUACAGAGUGUCAUAUGUAUUAAGUUGUGUAUUUUUAUAGAGUAAAGUCAAAUAGCAAACA